rnacentral:tRNA from 1 species
GAGAGAGGCUCUGAAGCAGCGAAAACUGCUAAUAUUCGUUUCUGUAGUUAGACUCUACAGCUCACUCG